rnacentral:misc_RNA from 1 species
GCCGGAGCAAAUCCAAGGUCGACCAUUGCAACCACUACAGAAAUCUAUGAUUACCUACGCGUCCUUUUUUCGGCUGUCGGCCAGCCGCAUGAUCCAUUGACCGGGCGGGCGGUUUAUCGGCAAACGCCUCAGCAGAUUGUCGAUCAAAUUCUGGCCUACGAACCGGAGACGAAGAUCGUCAUUAUGGCGCCGCUCGUGCAAAAUCAAACCGGCGAAUUUCGUGACGUGCUUGAAAAAGCAAAACGAGAAGGAUUCGUACGCGUCCGCAUUGACGGCGAAAUCGUAGAGCUUGGUCGCAGUGAACCGAUUCGCCUGAAAAAAAACCAGAG